rnacentral:rRNA from 1 species
AAGAAAUUAACUAAGAUUUCCCUAGUAACGGCGAGUGAAAAGGAAUCUAGUUCAGCGCUGAAUCCUUUAGCCCAUGGCUUUAAGGAACUGUAGCGUUAAGGAGAGCCUAUCUGUCGAUACGUUCGCUUCGGAAGCGCCCUUGAACGGGACUCCGUAGAAGGUGCGAGGCCUGUACCGAAGUGGUGUUCGAUAGUUUGCGCCUCCGUAGAGUCGAGUUGCUUGAGAGUGCAGCUCANAGUCGAAGGUAAACCCCUUCUAAAACUAAAUAUGACCACGAGACCGAUAGCGAACAAGUACCGCGAGGGAAAGUUGAAAAGAACUUUGAAGAGAGAGUUCAAAAGGGCGUGAAACCGCUUAGAAGAUAAACGAAUGGAGCCGUCGGUGGCCUGUGGAAAUCAGUUAAACGAUAGGCGAACAGAGUCUAUCCGUUAGAAUGUAAAGUCUAACGCGGUGGUCGCGUAGUAGUCGACGUUUAGCGCAUUUUCCAUAGGUUUGCACUGCAACCGGUAUAUAUGGCUGUCGUAGGCGUAGGCGAUUGAGGGCGAGAGUCUUCGGGUUUUCGUAACCAGUCGUUCUAUGUUCCUUUGUCAGACCAUCGUUACCGGCGAUAUGUGACGUUUCGACGAUGUCGGCUGUAAGGCUCGUCUGAGUGGUUCGGCGAUCAGCCAUACUGGCUGGUAUCUGCUUGCAGAUACUGGUCGUAUCGGUUAGUCGUGCGUCCAUUCGGCGACGUUCGAUGUCGUGGCGUUCGCAGUGUCCGCGUCGGUCACCCAUUCGACCCGUCUUGAAACACGGACCAAGGAGUCUAACAUAUGCGCGAGUCAAUAAGUUUUAAUAAACUUAGAGGCGCAAUAAAAGUAAAAACUGUCCUAGUCGGCAGUCGAGGUACGAUCCUGGUUGUGUAUUAACGUAUACACUAGGCGCAGUACCGUCCCAUCCCAUCCUUUUAUAGGUAGGGUGGAGACAGAGUGCAUACGUUGGGACCCGAAAGAUGGUGAACUAUGCUUGAGCAGAGCGAAGCCAGAGGAAACUCUGGUGGAGGUUCGUAGCGGUUCUGACGUGCAAAUCGAUCGUCAGACUUGGGUAU